rnacentral:rRNA from 1 species
AGCUUGCUAUUUUUAUGAAGAGCGGCGAACGGGUGAGUAACGCGUGGGAAAUCUGCCGAGUAGCGGGGGACAACGUUUGGAAACGAACGCUAAUACCGCAUAACAAUGAGAAUCGCAUGAUUCUUAUUUAAAAGAAGCAAUUGCUUCACUACUUGAUGAUCCCGCGUUGUAUUAGCUAGUUGGUAGUGUAAAGGACUACCAAGGCGAUGAUACAUAGCCGACCUGAGAGGGUGAUCGGCCACACUGGGACUGAGACACGGCCCAGACUCCUACGGGAGGCAGCAGUAGGGAAUCUUCGGCAAUGGGGGCAACCCUGACCGAGCAACGCCGCGUGAGUGAAGAAGGUUUUCGGAUCGUAAAACUCUGUUGUUAGAGAAGAACGUUAAGUAGAGUGGAAAAUUACUUAAGUGACGGUAUCUAACCAGAAAGGGACGGCUAACUACGUGCCAGCAGCCGCGGUAAUACGUAGGUCCCAAGCGUUGUCCGGAUUUAUUGGGCGUAAAGCGAGCGCAGGUGGUUUCUUAAGUCUGAUGUAAAAGGCAGUGGCUCAACCAUUGUGUGCAUUGGAAACUGGGAGACUUGAGUGCAGGAGAGGAGAGUGGAAUUCCAUGGGUAGCGG